AUAAUAACUUGAUUUAAGUAUCAAAUUCAAUCUUUCUAUUCAUUUAAAUAUGAUUUUUGUUUUUUUAUUAAAAAAAAUUAAAAUAAAUAAAUAAAUCAGUUUUUUAUAUAAAAAUCAGUAGCUGGCCGAAAACUUGAAAAAAAAAUUAUUAUUAUUAUUUUGUGAUUUCUAUCUUAUUCUUUACUUAACCAUUAAACCCUCUUCAUCAUCUUAUUUUUUCUAUCCCUAUCUUCCUUCUUCCAAUCCUCCAAUCAAAUGAACUUUUAUCUAAUUUCUACUCAUCUUUUAUGCCCAACUAUUAAUCUAGGCUUAAUUUGGUUCAAGUACUUUAACAAACCCCAAAACUUAUCAUGUUUUCUAGUAAUCAUAUCAUACAUUAAUCUCUAUCCCUUCCACACUCUAAACACUAUAAAUAGACCCUUAAUCCUCCUCAAUUACUCACACCAAAAAUCAAAAAUUCCUCCUCUAAUUCACACUCUAAACACGCCCUUUUCUCUUCCUCUUCCUUCACUUCUUGCUCCUUCUUUGCUCCUUGCCGCCACCAAACAAACACCUCUGCCGCCACCUGCUGCCACCAUCCCUACCGCCAACAUCCACCCAGCUGCCACCAUCAAUCCGCCGUGAGCUGCUGCCAGAAGGAGGUUUCCCUUGAUCGUGGUCAAGUGCAGUAGUCGUACCUUAAUUGUUCUCGUGAUCAAGGUGUGGAAUUGAUCGUGCGCAUACUUGAGUCGGGAUUGGGAUCACCUAGCUAGGAAUUUACUCAUUCACGAGUCAGACAUGUUUUAUUUAGAGUAUUUUCGAACUAUAUGUUAUGGUUAUUAUAAUAUUAAUAAAAGUCAAUUAUUUUUCGCUUCCAUUUUUAAUAGUUAAGUAAGCCUUACGUUUUCACGUGGUGGUGAUACGCCCAAAUCUAUCUCUACGUUAUUUUAUACGUAUAAAUAUAGUAUUUACGUAGAGAGAGAUUUGGG